AUUAGUUACAGCUUUCUCGUUCGUCUUCGUAUGUAGUUUUAGUUUUAUAUAUAUUCAGAACUCAGAAGCUCCUCCAUCAGUCUGCAGCUCAUAUCCUCAGUGUUAUGUCACUCCAAAUUUCCAACAUCACCUGAAAGUCUAGCUCCACAUUUGUGCUUCCAUCCAAAAUACACCGCCCACGUUGCAUUCGCCGCUUCUACGCUUCGCUUUUCCCAGCUGCAAUCGCCGGUCCCGCCACUGCAUUCUCAGUUGCCACCGCCGUCACCGUAGCUUCCAGUUAAAUCUAUGGAUUGUGCUUCAGACCAAAAAGAAGAAGAAGAAUUAUAUUGGGAAAAAAAACCAGGUCUUUGAUGCAAGACUUCAGUAUUUCCCUUUUAGCUGCCUCUCCACUCUCUUCAGAGAUGACCCCGAACUUGAUAGAACGCUCAAGGAAAGAGUUAGAUGGGGUGAUCCUAUGGCACAUUUGGUCAAGGGUUUGAGAAACAAAUGUUCAAUAGAAUGAAUGAGAAACAAGCUACAGAGAGGGAGGCGUGUUUGUGCUCUGCGUCAGAUAUGCGAGGAGUAGUAACCAGUAGCAUACGACACCUGACGGGUUGAAACUACAGAAAAGACGAGGACAAGGGAUUUAUCGGUGGAAAACCAACAGAGGAUUGACUGGAAAGGCAAUCAACGGCACGAAUGAGAUUAGACCUGGGGAAUGGCAACUUUGUCUUGUAUCCUAUUCAUGCUAUUGCAGCUCUCUACUGCAGAAUUUUUAUUCAAUGCUAAUACUACUUUUUCUUUUUCUUUGA